rnacentral:rRNA from 1 species
UACGGGGGGGGUAAGCGUUGUUCGGAAUUACUGGGCGUAAAGGGCUCGUAGGCGGCCAACUAAGUCGGACGUGAAAUCCCUCAGCUUAACUGGGGAACUGCGUCCGAUACUGGAUGGCUUGGAUUUGGGAGAGGGAUGCGGAAUUCCAGGUGUAGCGGUGAAAUGCGUAGAUAUCGAGAGGAACACCUGCGGCGAAGGCGGGUUGCUGGGCCGACACUGACGCUGAUGCGCGAAAGCCAGGGGAGCGAACGGG